rnacentral:rRNA from 1 species
GACGAACGCUGGCGGCGUGCUUAACACAUGCAAGUCGAACGGAAAGGCCCUGCUUUUGUGGGGUGCUCGAGUGGCGAACGGGUGAGUAACACGUGAGUAACCUGCCCUUGACUUUGGGAUAACUUCAGGAAACUGGGGCUAAUACCGGAUAGGAGCUCCUGCUGCAUGGUGGGGGUUGGAAAGUUUCGGCGGUUGGGGAUGGACUCGCGGCUUAUCAGCUUGUUGGUGGGGUAGUGGCUUACAAAGGCUUUGACGGGUAGCCGGCCUGAGAGGGUGACCGGGGCCAAUGGGGCUGGGGGAAGGCCCAGAACCCUUCGGGGGGGAACGGGGGGGGAAAGUGCACAAUGGGCGGAAGGCUGAUGGAGCAACGCCGGGUGCGGGAUGACGGCCUUCGGGUUGUAAACCGCUUUCGCCUGUGACGAAGCGUGAGUGACGGUAAUGGGUAAAGAAGCACCGGCUAACUACGUG